rnacentral:rRNA from 1 species
CAGACACUGUGACAUCGAUGCCCAUACUAUAACCAUAUAACCGGUUGGUGUGCGCUAGAUGUCACAGUGUCGAGACAGUCAGUAGCCGCGAUCUACAUCCCACGGACGAGCUUAAUAACUCUGCCGCAAUCGACGAAAGGGAAUCGGGUUAAAAUUCCCGAACUCGGAUGCGAAGAGCGCGCUGCUGUCGGCUGGCCGUGAAACGCUACGCUCGGCAGCGGUGACAUGCGGUAACGCAAACAAACUAGGAAACGUUGGCAGCAGUCCCAGGAAGAGUUCUCUUUUCUUCGUAAGGUCGACGCACUCCCUGGAAUCGGUUAGGCCGGAGAUAGGGACGUCACGGCCGAAAAGCAUUGCGAUUUUUGCAGUGUCUGGUGCGCUGCUGCUGGCCCUUGAAAAUCCUAGUGCGAGUAUGAAUGUCGCACCGAAUCGUACCGAUAUCCGCAGCAGGUCUCCAAGGUGAACAGCCUCUAGUCUUAGAGCGAUGUAGG